UCUGAUGCAGCAACGCCGCGUGAGGGAAGAAGGUCUUCGGAUUGUAAACCUUAGUAGUCAGGGACGAAGAAAUGACGGUACCUGAAGAGUAAGCUCCGGCUAACUACGUGCCAGCAGCCGCGGUAAUACGUAGGGAGCGAGCGUUGUCCGGAAUUACUGGGUGUAAAGGGUGCGUAGGCGGGACCGCAAGUCAGGCGUGAAAUACCGAGGCUCAACCUCGGGGCUGCGUUUGAAACUGUGGUUCUUGAGUGAAGUAGAGGCAGGCGGAAUUCCUAGUGUAGCGGUGAAAUGCGUAGAUAUUAGGAGGAACACCAGUGGCGAAGGCGGCCUGCUGGGCUUUAACUGACGCUGAGGCACGAAAGCAUGGGGAGCAAACAGGAUUAGAUACCCUGGUAGUCCAUGCCGUAAACGAUGAUAGCUAGGUGUGGGGGGACUGACCCCUUCCGUGCCGCAGUAAACACAAUAAGCUAUCCACCUGGGGAGUACGGUCGCAAGAUUGAAACUCAAAGGAAUUGACGGGGGCCCGCACAAGCAGUGGAGUAUGUGGUUUAAUUCGAAGCAACGCGAAGAACCUUACCAGGUCUUGACAUCCAACUAACGAAGCAGAGAUGCAUCAGGUGCCCUUCGGGGAAAGUUGAGACAGGUGGUGCAUGGUUGUCGUCAGCUCGUGUCGUGGGAUGUUGGGUUAAGUCCCGCAACGAGCGCAACCCUUGUCAUUAGUUGCUACGCAAGAGCACUCUAAUGAGACUGCCGUUGACAAAACGGAGGAAGGUGGGGACGACGUCAAAUCAUCAUGCCCCUUAUGACCUGGGCUACACACGUACUACAAUGGCCGUUAACAGAGGGAAGCAAGACCGCGAGGUGGAGCAAACCCCUAAAAACGGUCUCAGUUCAGAUUGCAGGCUGCAACCCGCCUGCAUGAAGUCGGAAUUGCUAGUAAUCGCGGAUCAGCAUGCCGCGGUGAAUACGUUCCCGGGCCUUGUACACACCGCCCGUCACACCAUGGGAGCCGGUAAUACCCGAAGUCAGUAGCCUAACCGCAAGGAGGGCGCUGCCGAAGGUAGGAUUGGCGACUGGGGUGAAGUCGUA
rnacentral:rRNA from 1 species